GGAAGUGUGGCCGAGCGGUUGAAGGCACCGGGUCUUGAAAACCGGCGACCCGAAAGGGUUCCAGAGUUCGAAUCUCUGCGCUUCCGCCA
rnacentral:tRNA from 1 species